UAGGGAAUCUUCCACAAUGAACGCAAGUCUGAUGGAGCAACGCCGCGUGAGUGAAGAAGGUUUUCGGAUCGUAAAGCUCUGUUGUUGGUGAAGAAGGAUAGAGGCAGUAACUGGUCUUUAUUUGACGGUAAUCAACUAGAAAGUCACGGCUAAUUACGUGCCAGCAGCCGCGGUAUUACGUAGUUGGCAAGCGUUGUCCGGAUUUAUUGGGCGUAAAGCGAGCGCAGGCGGAAUGAUAAGUCUGAUGUGAAAGCCCACGGCUCAACCGAGGAACUGCAUCGGAAACUGUCAUUCUUGAGUGCAGAAGAGGGGAGUGGAAUUCCAUGUGUAGCGGUGGAAUGCGUAGAAAUAUGGAAGAACAACAGUGGCGGAGGCGGCUCUCUGGGCUGAAACUGACGCUGAGGAUCGAAAGGAUAGGGAGCGAACAGG
rnacentral:rRNA from 1 species